UUUGUGGUCUCUCAGGAAAAAGAUAAAUAAGAUUAUGCUAUUACUCUGUGGCUUUGUGUUUGCCAUAGAAUUUCUUUUUCAGAUUUCAGGGUAAACAGAACAAAGGAUCACUUCUACAAUUCAUGUUUUUCCCAGAGAAUCUUCUGGCAUCUCAUUAUUAGGAGAAAGUAGCAAGAAAAAGGAUUAAGAAAAUAGAAGGAACUUGGUGAUGUGUCAAACAUAUUAUGUUCAUAAUACUCAUAGUUAUCAUGACCGUGGGGGAAUCAGGGCUUCAAGUAAAUAUGCUAUGAAGAGGACUUUAUGAAAAAAUUGAUCUUCAUGUUUGAGGGCAAUAGAAGGAUUCUUUUGCCCUGAAUACCAGUGAAUAAAUAUGGACUUGGGCCACAGACACUGGACAGAGAUUGUCUCUGGGAAGACUGACAUGCCUUCGGCAUGAAGAUGCUACAAGAAAAAGACAUGUAAUUAAGGGAAAGGAGAAAGGCUUUAACCAGGGUCUUUAAAGAGACUGUGAUAUGGGGAAAACAUUGUGUGGAAGAUGUGACCAAAGAUCUCUUAGGUUAGAGAGUGGAAGGAAAUGAGACUGUUUAAAAUUCCACUGUGUAUCUGUUCCACAGGAAGAAUAACAUUCCUGUGUGGUGCCGCUUGCCACUCCGUGUUUAGAAACAAUUAAAAGAUGCAAAUAUUUA